CAAAAAUACCCUUCUAUCAUCACCUGGGUACACAUCGAAAAACUUGGUUCACGUCCAGAGUGCAGAGCCCGGAAAGCAACCCAGUGAAGAUCCCGAAAUCGACGUUUAUAUUAUUUCUGUUUUCAUCAACUGCAAUAGUUGCAAGGUCUUUCGUCACCUCUAUAUUGAUGAAGGAGCGGGCUGUACUCUUUGGAAACCUGAAAGCAAGAUAAACCAGAGAGACGAUUGCUGUGAAUUUAUUUACGACCUGCUGUGCGGCACAUCACCAAAGUACCACAUCUCCGACAACUGCUCCUGAAGUUCCAGACUUCUUCGCCUAAUCUCAGUAAGAUUCAAAGCUCGCUCUCCGCGGCUGCGCAUGUGUGAUCAACAACUCCAAUAAACAAAUUA